UGCUAGAUCCCCACAUAGUAUCUCUUUCCCCGCACAUGCCUCCUCGGACCGCCAUCCCGCAAAACCCACGAUGCCGCCGCCGCCGCCGCAAAAUACUUCCUCAUGCUGCUGAUGGCUCAGUAAUACUGUGUUUGACCGCACCGUGCGUUCCCACCUCUGCUGCAGUCCGUCGUCUGUUCAAGGCCAUGGCCGAGGAUGAAGCCGUCACAGGCCAGUGCUGCAACUUCCUUUUCUCUUUUGCCGAUCUCGCAUUCUUCCCAUAUUGCAAAUCUUCAGAAAUUGUCCUAAGAUGCAGUCCAAGGAUUCUGAAAACAGCUGCACGUGCAGCCCAGCCUAUGCUAUUCUCUAAUUUGCAGAUAAAAGUGCUUUGAAAAUUUAGAGGGCUCAAGAUGGUACGAGAUGUUUCACUUUAGAGGAUUCUCCGUCAUGGUUGGAGUGCAGUAUGGCGUCCAACUUUCAGAUUAGCAGAGCGAGGUGCAUGCUUUCUGGUUCUGCGUUGUGCACAUCAGCGACCGACAGGAGUAGCCUAAGAUGCAGUCCAAGGAUUCCGAAAACAGCUGCACGUGCAGCCCAGCCUAUGCUAUUCUCUAAUUGGUAGAUAAAAGUGCUUUAAAAAUCUAGAGCGCUCAAGGUGGUACGAGAUGUUUCACUUUAGAGGAUUCUCCAUCAUGGUUGGAGAGCAGUAUGGCGUCCAACUUUCAGAUUAGCAGAGCGAGGUGCAUGUUUUUUUGGUUCUGCGUUCUGCACAUCAGCGAUCGACAGGAGCAACCUAAGUUGGAGUCCAAGGAUCCCGAAAACAGCUGCACGUGCACCCCAGCCUAUGUCUUUCUCUAAUUGGAAGAUAAAUCUGCUUUGAAAAUUUAGGGCGCUCAACAUGGUACGAGAUGUUUCACUUCUCAACACAUCUCCUUUUUUUGAGUUUUCUUAAAACUAAUUAUUGUAGAAUUAUAUUUCUUUAUUUCUCAUAAAGUGGUCUGUACAAUAUAUAUUAUAUAGUACAACUUAUCGACUAAGAAAGCAAUACCACAUGAGGCACAACACUCUAGGCGCAAUAGGACAUGGAAAUAUCACACAACCUGGAUUGUUCAAGUCAGCGCUGCUGGGACGCGUUGUUCUGCAAGCAACAGCUGCUACCAUCCAGUUCAAUAGACCAGGAAAAUCAAAACCUUCAUAAAUUCAUGUUGAGAUGCAGGCGUGUGUAUAAGCAUGAAGUGAAGUCUAUGUCGGUUGCUCAUGGUACACGAGUAUAUACAGCAGUUGCUGCGUGUUCGGCCAGGAGUAGUGUGAACUCUUAAGCAGCUUCAAUUGCAGACGAUGGGCUCACAUCCAUCUCCAUAGCAUAAACAUCGUGCACGUCACUGAUUCGUGCAUAUAUGUAAAGCGGCGAAACAAGAUCAGCAGGCUAGCACAUCCAACGCCUAUAGGUAUUCGAUCUACCGGAGGUUAUCCCUUCUCAGGUUCAUUCUUCUUAUGUUGAAGCAACUUCAUAACCUGACCUUGACGUAAAUGGAGACAAAGUUAUAUGAAACGGCGUACAAGCAGUUACUCAAGCACCCUGAUCUGCGCCUCUGUCAUAGUCAAGGUGCAUCGGUUCAUAAGGUUUAGAGUCCAGAAGGAGCAUGUCCAAUUGCUAACAACAGGUUUGAUCUGGGGUUGCCACAUUUUGCAAAAGUAAUUCCUGAAAUUUUUUAAACCAGAAGGACACAAUUGAAGUUGUGUGUUCUUUUGUUUCUUAUUGAAGUGCCAUAAUGUUGUUAUAUGAUGAACUACAGAAACAAAUGCUUCUCAUCGCCAGUCAACUAUUAGAAGUUUCAAUAGUAGACAAAUACAUAUUCUUACUUCAUCUUGAUUAUUGCAGGAUACCGUGGCACAUGGUUUCGAAAGAAAAAAACACCAUUGGGAAAAUUUGUACAAGAUAAUUGUGAACAUGACCUGCCAACAGUCCAAGGUCCUUUAAGGUUCAAACUUUAAUAUAUAUAGUUAGAAAUAUAUAUUCUAAGAUAGUCACAUGGUUGUCGCAAGAGUACAGGGCACCAUGAUAUGUGGUUGUCACAAAGUAUACAAGUUUAGUACACACAUCCAAGAAUUACGGCAGACAUGCUUGCAAAUAUUUAGAUUUGUUGGCAAUUACUUUCAUUCUUGGCAAAAGUGAAAGUAUAAAACUAUAUCUUCUGCUCGGGACGAAAGUUUCUUAGAAGCAUUAUCAUUGUUUGAAUUGUCAAAAUCUGUACAUUGUAAUUGUCAAUAUGAUUUAAAACUUUUGUAGUAUAUUAAUAAGGCUUCAGUUAUAAGUCAUCGUUGUAUUACCUACUUAUGUAGGACAGGUCAACAAAACACAUGCAAGUCAUGGAAUUUACAAGAUUUAAGACAUUACAUUGUGAAUCAGGUGCCCUAAAAGGCUAAAACACAAUGGUGGAUAUAACUUAUAGUUGCUACCAACUUUUACUGUUGCCACACGCUGCCAAGAUAUAUGGCCGGAGAAGAUUAAAUUAAACAAACUGGUGAGGAUUUUAUCACACAGUUUGCUACAUGAACACUAAUUGGCAAUGAUAUGAUAUCUAAUACAUAAAUUUAUCUAUAAACAUAUAUUUUAAUUUUGAUGGUGAGGAUUGCUUUGGAUAAGAAUAGUGGAAAUCUAAAUAAGGUAUUAUUACUUCCCUAAAUUUACAGUCACCUUUCCUAUUGUGCUACAUAUAUAAAUACUUUUGUGCAUACAAAAUAGAGAGAAGUGAUGUGCAGCGUCAACUUGCAUUGUGUUGGUGCAGCAAAAACGAUUUGGUAAUUGAAAACGUUCUAGAAGCGUAAAUUGCAUAUUGUUGGAGAUUGAAGAAGUAGUGAUAAUAAAAAAAUUCCAACAAUGUAGUCAAAUAUUUAACAAGUCUGUCAUUUUUAUGUGCAAUCAUCGAAUGCUACUUUUUGUGUGGAAUUUUUAACAUUGCCAACAAGUUAUAUUUGUGUAUAAUUUAUAUUGAUUAGGACAUAAAAAUCAUUACCACCUCUUUUCCUAGGCUAACCAGUGCGAAUGCACGGGUUGAUGGCUAGUUUAGUUAGUUAGUCUAAUGACACUGACA